GACGAACCGUGCGAACGUUGUUCGGAAUCACUGGGCUUAAAGGGCGCGUAGGCGGCUCGCGAGGUCGGGGGGUGAAAUCCCGCAGCUUAACUGCGGAAGGGCCUCCGAUACCGGCGGGCUGGAGGAAGGUAGGGGUGCGCGGAACUUCUGGUGGAGCGGUGAAAUGCGUUGAUAUCAGAAGGAACGCCGGCGGCGAAAGCGGCGCACUGGACCUUUUCUGACGCUGAGGCGCGAAAGCUAGGGGAGCAAACGGG
rnacentral:rRNA from 1 species